rnacentral:lncRNA from 10 species
AAGAAAUAAGAGCUCCUGAGACCCUGCUGGAUACAAAUGCCCUGUACGACCUAAGGGCCUCCACAGCAGGAACAAAAGGAAUUUUGUCUGAGAUUUUAGCAGAAAAGUAAUUUUUGAAAUCUAUUCUUGGAUUUAGACGUUUAUUGGAUUUCAAAGCUUCUUGCUGCCCAGGAGCUUGUGAAUACGGUCAAAGGUCCAUGAAAUUUCCAAAGUGGUACCACAGCAGAUGAACCUGAAUGCAAACUGGAGGGACCAACAGAGUCCAGCCUAUAGACAUAAAUCCUUAACUACACCUAGAUCUCACUGUCUUUUCCAAUGGUCAAAAGAGGGGCUCUUGAAAUGGCUCCAUUGUUUUAUAGAAACAAGGUCUUCCUAAGAAGUCUUUUUCUCCUAUCUUUUUCUUACCCAAAAUAAAGGAAUGGCCCAAAACCUCAAGCCAAGCUUACCAGCUAUAAACAACUUGGUGGUCAGCAGCCAAAAGAAGAGUGGACAUGCCAUGGUCAUGUGGCACGUACCCUAUACAAGCUUCACAGAGAAGAAUGGAAGCACUUGAUUGUAAGACAGAGGGUGAGAUGUGAGAGGAAUAUUAACCUUCACUUUCCACAGGCAUUUUUUUCUGCAAAUGGCACCAGCUUUUGGACUUAAAAUUUUAUUCCAAAUACUAUUUAGAUGCAUCAGGGCCCUCAAAAUAUGGAUUUCAAGUUGGAGACAUCAAAGUGCAUUAUUUACUAAAACCACUGCAGCUUUUUUCCCCUCUCCUUUCACAAGAUGCUAUUGUAAAUUCAGGCUGCUUUAAUCUCUGUGAUUAAAAAAAAAAAGGAAGAAAGAAAAAAAAAGUGCUGCUUGAAGAGGAACUGAACUCACAAUCUGGGAGCUAGAAAUGCUCUCUCGUGCUCUCUCUGUCUCCAGUGAUAAGCUGACCAGAUGCCUUGAAUUAAGUACAGUAUGCAGCAAUGCCAGCCCUGGACUUUUCCCCAACCUAUCACCCAACCCACUUACCUGGAGCCAAGGGUCACCAACAUCUCUAAUAGAAUCCAACUGUGGAAUAGAAAAACUAUUUCGUCUAAGAAGUGGAUCCUAGCUGUCAAAUAAAAAAUCGCUGUUGAAUGCUGUAAAGUACAUUUUUACACCCAUGUACAAUUUAGAGCUUAGGAACUCAUGGAAAAAAAUAGAGUUAACACGGAUAAAGGGAUUUUAAAAGGCGAGAGAGGGAAGAGUUUCUUAAGGAGUCUCCAAUGACAAAAAUGUGUUCAUUUUCUGAGACCUCCAGAAUGAAUUACUAAGGUAUCCUCAAACAAAAGUGGUUUUGCUAUUCAGAAAUUCAUAUGUUCUAAAUAGAG